UUAGUUUUCUUUAUCAUACUUUGUAGUUUUAAUGAUGACGCAUACAUGUCAACUAUGGGUGUUGGCUCCAACAAUUCUCACUGGUCUCAAACCAAUGAAGUGCAUGAACAUGAUCAUGAGUAUGAAGUGGAUGCGGAUGGUGAGGGUAUCGUCGAUGCACCGAAAGGAAGGGCGUGCAACUACACCAUUGAGGAAGACGUCUUGCUAUGCAAUACAUGGUUGACCGUGUAUAUGGAUGCCACCGUUGGAGGGGACCAAUCUAGAGAUACAUAUUGGUUUCAGAUGAAUGAGUUCUUUGAUGCACACAACAGGAGUGGAAUUAAGCGCAUCGGUAGAUCACUUCGCUCCCGGUGGCCGAUGAUCAACAAAGAUUGUCAAAGAUGGGCGGCAGCAAUGAACCCAAGUGGCACUAAUGAUAGAGAUAGGGCAAGUGCCAUUUCUUUAUGUUCCAUAUUCAUGCUCCAUCUUUUGUGUUUCAAGUAG
rnacentral:rRNA from 1 species